GUGUCAGCCGCCGCGGUAAUACGUAGGCAGCGAGCGUUGUUCGGAGUUACUGGGCGUAAAGAGUAUGUAGGCGGUUCUGCAAGUUCGGUGUGAAAUCUCCCGGCUCAACUGGGAGGGUGCGCCGAAAACUGCAGGGCUAGAGUGUGGGAGAGGAAAGCGGAAUUCCUGGUGUAGCGGUGAAAUGCGUAGAUAUCAGGAGGAACACCGGCGGUGUAGACGGCUUUCUGGACCAUUACUGACGCUGAGAUACGAAAGCGUGGGGAGCAAACAGGAUUAGAUACCCUGGUAGUCCACGCCCUAAACGAUGCGGACUUGGUGUGGGCAGUUCAUUCUGUCCGUGCCGGAGCUAACGCGUUAAGUCCGCCGCCUGGGGAGUACGGUCGCAAGGGUGAAACUUAAAGAAAUUGGCGG
rnacentral:rRNA from 1 species